rnacentral:rRNA from 1 species
GAGGCCGAAAGGCGUAGGCGAUGGACAACAGGUUGAUAUUCCUGUACCACCUCCUUUCCGUUUGAACGACGGGGGGACGCAGGAGGAUAAGGAGAGCGCGCCAUUGGAUGAGCGCGUCCAAGCAGUGAGACGGUCGGAUAGGCAAAUCCGUCCGGCAACGUCAAGCUGUGAUGGGGAGGGAACUAAAGUACCGAAGCUCCUGAGUUCACACUGCCAAGAAAAUCCUCUAGUGAGGAAAGAGGUGCCCGUACCGCAAACCAACACAGGUAGGCGAGGAGAGGAUCCUAAGGUGAGCGGGAGAACUCUCGUUAAGGAACUCGGCAAAAUGACCCCGUAACUUCGGGAGAAGGGGUGCUCCUCUGCCGAGGAGCCGCAGUGAAAAGGCCCAAGCGACUGUUUACCAAAAACACAGGUCUCUGCGAAGCCGUAAGGCGAAGUAUAGGGGCUGACACCUGCCCGGUGCUGGAAGGUUAAGGGGAUGCGUUAGCCGUAAGGCGAAGCGUUGAACCGAAGCCCCAGUAAACGGCGGCCGUAACUAUAACGGUCCUAAGGUAGCGAAAUUCCUUGUCGGGUAAGUUCCGACCCGCACGAAAGGUGCAACGACUUGGGCACUGUCUCAACGAGAGACCCGGUGAAAUUAUACGAUGCGUGAAGAUGCGCAUUACCCGCGACAGGACGGAAAGACCCCGUGGAGCUUUACUGUAGCCUGAUAUUGAAUGUUGGUACAGCUUGUACAGGAUAGGUAGGAGCCUUAGAAGCCGGAGCGCUAGCUUCGGUGGAGGCGCUGGUGGGAUACUACCCUGGCUGUACGGACAUUCUAACCCAGGACCGUAAUCCGGUCCGGAGACAGUGUCAGGUGGGCAGUUUGACUGGGGCGGUCGCCUCCUAAAGAGUAACGGAGGCGCCCAAAGGUUCCCUCAGAAUGGUUGGAAAUCAUUCGCAGAGUGUAAAGGCACAAGGGAGCUUGACUGCGAGACCUACAAGUCGAGCAGGGACGAAAGUCGGGCUUAGUGAUCCGGCGGUACCGCAUGGAAGGGCCGUCGCUCAACGGAUAAAAGCUACCCCGGGGAUAACAGGCUUAUCUCCCCCAAGAGUCCACAUCGACGGGGAGGUUUGGCACCUCGAUGUCGGCUCAUCGCAUCCUGGGGCUGUAGUCGGUCCCAAGGGUUGGGCUGUUCGCCCAUUAAAGCGGUACGCGAGCUGGGUUCAGAACGUCGUGAGACAGUUCGGUCCCUAUCCGUCGUGGGCGUUGGAAAUUUGAAAGGAGCUGUCCUUAGUACGAGAGGACCGGGAUGGACACACCGCUGGUGUACCAGUUGUUCCGCCAGGAGCAUCGCUGGGUAGCUACGUGUGGUCGGGAUAAGUGCUGAAAGCAUCUAAGCAUGAAGCCCCCCUUGAGAUGAGAUUUCCCCUUACGCCAAGUAAGUAAGAUCCCUCAGAGACGAUGAGGUUGAUAGGUCCGAGGUGGAAGCGUGGUGACACGUGGAGCUGACGGAUACUAAUGGAUCGAUGACUUAUCUA